rfam:Pongo abelii chromosome 6.
GUCUACGGCCAUACCACCCUGAACGCGCCCGAUCUCGUCUGAUCUCGGAAGCUAAGCAGGGUCGGGCCUGGUUAGUACUUGGAUGGGAGAAGGACCUAAAAAUCAGUAACAAAAAUC